rnacentral:rRNA from 1 species
AAUGAACGUUGGCGGCGUGGAUUGGGCAUGCAAGUCGAGCGAGAAUCGUAGCAAUACGAGGACAGCGGCGAAAGGGAGAGGAAUACGUAGAAAUCUACCCCUGAGACCGGGAUAGCGUCGGGAAACUGGCAGUAAUACCGGAUAAUGUCUUAGGACCAAAGGUGUGAUUCCACUUGGGGAUGAGUCUACGCCCUAUUAGCUAGUUGGUGGGGUAAUGGCCUACCAAGGCGAUGAUGGGUAGCGGGUGUGAGAGCAUGACCCGCCUCACUGGGGCUGAGAACUGCCCAGACACCUACGGGUGGCUGCAGUCGAGAAUCUUGGUCAAUGGACGAAAGUCUGAACAAGCGACGCCGCGUGCGGGAUGAAGGCCUUCGGGUUGUAAACCGCUGUCGUAGGGGAACAAAUGUACGGGGGUACUCCCCUGUAUUUGAGUGAUCCUAGGAGGAAGGAGAGGCUAAGCUCGUGCCAGCCGCCGCAGUAA